UCUAAUUAUGUUUUAGAAUUAAAUUCAAUUUACCCCCCUGAGGUUUGGAGGUAAUUUCAUGUUAGUCCAUGUCCUCUCAAUUUAAUCAGUUUACCCCCUAAGUUUUCCAAUUUCAAUCCGUCGUGUCCAAUGUAUGAGGCUCCAUCUAAAUUUGACGUUAAGUCCAACUUUAGGGGCCCACUUUAAGGGCUAAAAUAGUCAUUUAAAACAAAACAAAAAAUUGAAGGAAAAAAAAAAAAACUCAUUUCUUCUUCUUCCUCAAAUCCUCUUCUUCUUCUCUCUCUCAUCUCCGAUGGGCAGCCCCAAAGACCCACCCCCUCCACUCCACUCCACUCCACCCGACCCGUCUCCUCUUCUGUCCUCCGAUUUAUCUUUCCAUAUACUCCAUUGCCCGCCUGGUCAAACCCUUGCGAUCCCAACAGUCAAUUCCUUCCUCACCCCCGGCUACUUCUCCAAGUCGGCGCCAUCUUUCUCAGAAAACCGUCGAGUCAGCAUCGAUUUCGAUCCGGACACAUACGACCCGCCGUCUGCUUCUUCCUCAGGGCCAAAGUCAAAGCCUCAGCCGGAGGCUGGUAUCUCCGGAUCUAAUUAUUCUGCCACCGAUCGAUUGGGUACAGCCGCCGCUGGAGCCCAACGUUGGGUCUGGAUUUUCAGCCAAAAAUUUGAAGAAAAACGUUAAUCUGAUUCGAGGUAAUGCUCAUUUGCUGCCGGUGAAGCUAAAAGGAAGAGCUGAAGGGAACUCGUGAAGCUCAACCUAAACUGAAGGAAGCGCAAGUUUAUGAACAAGGGCAGAAGAGGAAGUACCAAUUUGGGCUGUAAUACGACGACAAAGCAGGGUUGGUAGAAGAGCGGAGGAGGUUACCGAGAGGCGGAUUCGCUGUGGGGAGAUUCACCGGAGCUAGAAGAGCGGCAAAGGUUCACUGAUAUUCUGGGUAUUGGUGGAAUUCCUACAUGAUGAAGUUUGGGUAUUGGAGUUGCCCAUCAGAGCUCAGAGAGAGAAGGUGGUGGGCAGGUAUGGGUUUGUGCAGGGUAGAAGAAGAUUAGGAUGUGAGGAGGGGGCAGUGAUUUUUGUUGCCGUAGAUCGAAGACGAAGAAGAAGAAGACGGGGUUGAUUUCUAAGUCGGGGGUUAUAAGAGUAAUUUUGCUCUUAAGUUUGGGAGAAAUUUUUGUGUGCUCCCGUCACUCCACGUGGCAUAUGUGACGGACCACUCUGAUUGGUCCACGUCAUUGUCAAUUGUAUUUUCCUUUUCUGUUGGAAUUUGAAACCGUGGUCAGCCAAGAACACACUUCACAAUAUUAUUGGAAUUAUGAACAAGAUCUGAAA